AUUGCCCUAGUAACGGCGAGUGAAGCGGCAACAGCUCAAAUUUGAAAUCUGGCCCUCGGGUCCGAAUUGUAAUUUGUAGAGGAUGCUUUUGGUGAGGUACCUUCCGAGUUCCCUGGAACGGGACGCCAUAGAGGGUGAGAGCCCCGUCUGGUCGGAUACCGAUCCUCUGUAAAGCUCCUUCGACGAGUCGAGUAGUUUGGGAAUGCUGCUCUAAAUGGGAGGUAUAUGUCUUCUAAAGCUAAAUAUUGGCCAGAGACCGAUAGCGCACAAGUAGAGUGAUCGAAAGAUGAAAAGCACUUUGAAAAGAGAGUUAAAAAGUACGUGAAAUUGUUGAAAGGGAAGCGCUCAUGACCAGACUUGGGCUUGGUUGAUCAUCCAGGGUUCUCCCUGGUGCACUCUUCCAGCCCAGGCCAGCAUCAGUUCGCUGUGGGGGAUAAAGGCUUUGGGAAUGUGGCUCCUCCGGGAGUGUUAUAGCCCAUUGUGUAAUACCCUGUGGUGGACUGAGGUUCGCGCAUCUGCAAGGAUGCUGGCGUAAUGGUCAUCAGCGACCCGUCUUGAAACACGGACCAAGGAGUCGUCUUCGUAUGCGAGUGUUCGGGUGUUAAACCCCUACGCGUAAUGAAAGUGAACGCAGGUGAGAGCUUCGGCGCAUCAUCGACCGAUCCUGAUGUUCUCGGAUGGAUUUGAGUAAGAGCAUACGGGGCCGGACCCGAAAGAAGGUGAACUAUGCCUGUAUAGGGUGAAGCCAGAGGAAACUCUGGUGGAGGCUCGCAGCGGUUCUGACGUGCAAAUCGAUCGUCAAAUAUGGGCAUGGGGGCGAAAGACUAAU
rnacentral:rRNA from 2 species